GCCCGAAUGGUGAAAUGGUAGACACGAGGGACUUAAAAUCCCUUGACUAUUGCAGUCGUGCGGGUUCGAGUCCCGCUUCGGGCACCA
rnacentral:tRNA from 1 species